CUGAAAGGCUGCAUCUGUGUUAGCAAAGUAUCCCCAUCCCACACACAAACACACACACACACACACACACACACACACUAGAUGGCAAGAUGGCAAUGCCCAUGAAGUCUCAGCGUGGAAGUCCUUUAUCUUGCUGCGAGUGAGAUAAUCUCAAACUCCACGGGGCCCUGCGACAGCCGGAAUCUGGGUACCCCCCUUUUUGAGUCAGGGCAGCCUGUGAAAGUUUGGGGCGUAUCAUUGGCAUCUUGUGGCUCACCUUCCAAAAGAGGGCAGAGGGCACAGCAAAAGUAGCUUUCGGGCUGUGACCUGUACCUAACCCUCGGCAGGCUUCUGCCAGUCAGGCGGAAGCAAGUCUCUCUCCUCCGCUGGCUGGCCGCUGUCGUCGGGUGACUGGGAGCCGCUCUGCUGCUAAUCCUCCCCCGUAAUUCCUGUCGCGUCACUCGGUCUUGCAGUUCUCUGGCCCAGCGGCGUUUACAGGAGGUCACUGCCGGGACACAGGGAACCAGUGUGCGGUAAAAAAUGCAACCCGACAGCACCACGCUCCUUACCAGAAGUGGAGCUCUAGAAUUUUCCGAGUCGACUCAGAGGAAGACCCCACAGAGGCUCCCACUCUGUGAAGAUGCAGCUCGAAGGCCCUGACAAGAAAUCAGCAUCUUGAUACCAGACUUUCCAACCUCCAGAACUUGUUCACACAUUGAAGAAAAGUUGAUUCAACACAUGUGGAUUGUGAAAUAAAGGAUAAGGUGUGGAUGAGUCAGUAUGAGUAUCGCUUACUAUUAAUGCUCAGCUCAGCAUUGGAAUUAAGCAGCUGCCUUAGCAAGCUUCACAAGGAAGAGAGUGUGGAUUUUACUAGCUGCUCCACAGCUUGGAGAACUUUUCAGAUUGUACCAACCAAAGGCAGGUCUUCAGUUGUAAAAGAACAGCCUGAGGUUGGAUCAGUCAAUCAACUGGCAUGAUUUGUGGAGCAUCUUUUAUGGCCUGGCAAAGUGGGGACACAGAAGGGUAUGACCUGGUCUCUGUUCCCUGAGUGCAGAGAAUUCAGCUGGUGAGACAAAGCUCCCAGAUGACAGCAGAAAAUGAAACCAGGCACAGGGAGAAAGUGGCCAGGUGCUUACCUGUCAACGCCACAUCAUUGGUGUUGAGGAACUUGUGCCCCUCAGGUGUCUACUGCAGAAUGUACCCAGAAACCACACUGGUAUUUCCAGGAGGCGAGCACCAACUGCUGUUCUCUGGUGCUGUAGUCAUGCCCUCUGAUGUUGGAAUUCAUCAGAAGAUAGACCAUGGAGAGAUGAGCAACCAGAGGACAAAUGGCCAGUGAGCUUUGCAAAUAUAGAAACAAGUAAGCUACUGGCUGUGGGGUAAGCGCAUUUGUUGGUAAUAAAUAAGAGACUGUUGCGUGUCUUAUAUUUAGCUGGAGUGGGGCUGGUAAGUCAGCCUUCUGUUUGGAUUAGACCAGUGCUUUCAUCUCUGAAGGGUCCAAGGACUUAUAAAGCCAGAAUAAAGCUCCAGUUGACCUUAAGUAAAGGGUCUUGUUAAAAUACUCAAGAACCAACCUUAAGAGGCUCCCAAUGGCCAAUGUGAGCACCAAGGAUAUGAAAUAUAUAAAUAUGUUUCAAUCCUUGACUGUAUAAUAACACAAAGAAUAUUGCUUACCACUGGAAGGUGAUAGGAAACCAUGAUAUUAUUUUGAAAAUUUGUGAACAAAAGAAAGAAAUCAAACAUUUAUCCUGACCUUUGAACAUGAACUGUACCACAUAGUAAAUGAGGGGAAGUUUUUUUUCUUUCUAGAACUAUUUUAGCCAAUAAACAAAGAAGGAAUGACAGAAUUAGAGUAUCACCAUUUCGUAACCCUUAAUGAAUUAAUGAAUUUGGAUACCCUCCACCCCAGUUAUGUGCCUCCUGGUGGAAGAACACAAUGAAAUAAAAUUUUGAAAUAAAAUUUUUGCCCCCCUCCCCACUGAACUGGCUAUAAGUGAAUCAGAUCCAACUAAAAAUUGUUAGGAAGUAGAAAGGACAGAGGAACAUGUUAAACAAUACAAACUAUGAGACACUAUACAAGAAAAAGAGCCCAAUUCCUAAAACAAAUGAAUUGCAAGGAAAAAAAGAGAAAGAGGUGAAACCCAUAGAAUAAAUGAAACAUUUUGAGACAUAGUAUCCAACCACAAGGUGUGGAUUUAAACUAACUGUAAAAAUCUUUAAAAAAUAUUGAUGCAAAAUUGCAAACUUGAACGCUUGUGGAAUAUUUGAUGAUUUUUAGGAAUUAUUGUUAGCUUUUUAGCUGUGCCAAUUAUAUCAUGGCUAAGUUUGAAAAAGAGAAAGAUUUUUUAUUUUUUAGUGAUACAAACUGAAUGGUAGGAUAUCUAGAAUUCACUCCAAAAUAAUAAAAGGGGGUCAGGAGGGAUGGUGAGGGUGUUGAUAAACCAAGAUUAGCCAUGAGCUGAUAAUUACUGAAGUUGGGCCAUGGGCUCAUGGCAGUUUGAUAUUUUCCAUAAUAGAAAAAGUUUUAAAAAAUCUAUUGACCAAUCUAUCUGUUCCUUUCUUUUAAUAUUAAAACACUAAUUAUUAUUAACAGUAUUAUAUUAACGUGAAGUCUCACUUGGUUGAUUCACCACGUCACCUUCAAGGGAGAUGAGGAGGUUGGCCUUGGCAAUGGGGAGACCCGGAUUCUACUUUUACUUGCCUAUUCACUAGCUGAGUGAUUCUAGAACUUCAGCACUCUGGGUUUCCCUGAACUCCUUUGGGAAAUCCAGGGCAGGGAUGAUUUCUAACAGUCCUGCCUGCAGUUGACCGCUGCAGUGAUUAAGAGAUUUGGGUCCUGCAGUCUGACUGUCUGGGUUGGAAUCCCAGAUGCCCCACAUGUGUGCUUGGCUAAUUUCAUUUAAUCCUCCAGUGUGUCAUUUUCCUGAUUCGUACAAUAAAAGUAACAAUAACGCCUCAAAGGGUUGCUGUGAAGAUUAGAUGAGAUGUUCCAUGCAUUCACUCCGCAAACACAGAGCACCUCGUCUCCAGCUCUGGGAGGGGUAGGGGUAGAGUAGCGAGGAAAAUACGGACCAGCUGUUG